rnacentral:rRNA from 1 species
UACGUAGGGGGCAAGCGUUAUCCGGAUUUACUGGGUGUAAAGGGAGCGCAGACGGCAGUGCAAGUCUGAUGUGAAAGCCCGGGGCUCAACCCCGGAACUGCAUUGGAAACUGUACAGCUUGAGUGUCGGAGAGGUAAGCGGAAUUCCUAGUGUAGCGGUGAAAUGCGUAGAUAUUAGGAGGAACACCGAUGGCGAAGGCGGCUUUCUGGCCAGUUACUGACGCUCAUGCGCGAAAGCUGGGGUAGCGAACCGGAUUAGAUACCCGGGUAGUCCCUGA